rnacentral:rRNA from 1 species
CUUGGUCAUUUAGAGGAAGUAAAAGUCGUAACAAGGUCUCCGUUGGUGAACCAGCGGAGGGAUCAUUACUGAGUUACCGCUCUAUAACCCUUUGUGAACAUACCUAACUGUUGCUUCGGCGGGCAGGGGGUGCCGCCUGCGGACCCCCCGGCCCUGCCCUCACGGGCGGAGCGCCCGCCGGAGGAUACCAAACUCUAUUUUAACGACGUUUCUUCUGAGUGGCACAAGCAAAUAAUUAAAACUUUCAACAACGGAUCUCUUGGUUCUGGCAUCGAUGAAGAACGCAGCGAAAUGCGAUAAGUAAUGUGAAUUGCAGAAUUCAGUGAAUCAUCGAAUCUUUGAACGCACAUUGCGCCCGCCAGCAUUCUGGCGGGCAUGCCUGUUCGAGCGUCAUUUCAACCCUCAAGCUCUGCUUGGUGUUGGGGCCCUACGGUUGACGUAGGCCCUUAAAGGUAGUGGCGGACCCUCUCGGAGCCUCCUUUGCGUAGUAACUAACGUCUCGCACUGGGAUUCGGAGGGACUCUUGCCGUAAAACCCCCAAAUUUUUAAAGGUUGACCUCGGAUCAGGUAGGAAUACCCGCUGAACUUAAGCAUAUCAAUAAGCGGAGGA